CAAUAGCGUAUAUUAAAGUUGUUGCGGUUAAAAAGCUCGUAGUUGGAUUUCUGUUGAGAGCAGCGCGUCUACCUUUUGGGUAAGUAUGUUGCUUGGUCCCGGCAUCUUCGUGGAAAACGUUUCUGCGCUUGAUUGCGUGGGGCGGGGUUCACGACUUUUACUUUGAGGAAAUUAGAGUGUUCACGGCAGGCAUACGCCUUGAAUAUAUUAGCAUGGAAUAAUAACAUAGGGCUUACGGCCUAUUUUGUUGGUUUCUAGGCUGCAGGCAAUGAUUAAUAGGGACAAUUGGGGGCAUUCGUAUUAACGCGUCAGAGGUGAAAUUCUUGGAUUGCGUUACGACGAACUACUGCGAAAGCAUUUGCCAAGGAUGUUUUCAUUGA
rnacentral:rRNA from 1 species